rnacentral:sRNA from 1 species
GAUUGAACCCGCGGGCCAGAAUAGAGCACCUGCAACCUGUUCCGACGGAAGCCCCGGGCCGGGGGGUGAAAGCCUCCCAAGCCCGGGCACAACACAAACCCUGGUGCCUCAGGCACCAAGGAACUGCAACAGAGCGAGUGCGCCUCAUGCCGAUUGCACCCAAAACGACUCUCGGCAACGGAUAUCUCGACUCUCGCAUCGAUGAAGAACAUAGCGAAAUGCGAUGCUUAGUGUGAAUUGCAGAAUCCCGUGAACCAUUGAGUCCUUGAACGCAAGUUGUGCCCAAAGCCAUUAGGCCGAGGGCACGCCUGCCCGGGCAUCACGCAACGUUGCCGCCGCCUCACGCGGGGCGCGGUAGAUGAUGGCCUCCCAGGGGCUCCAUCCCCUGGCUAGCUGAAAUGAUGGCCUCGCGCGAUGGCGGCCACGAUCUAUAGGGAUGUUCAAGAAUAGACGUGCACGCGUUGUCCCACGGGGAGGGCCGAACCCCGAAUCCCACAGCAACCCCAGGUCAGGCGGGGCCACCCACUGAGUUUAAGCAUAUCAAUAAGUGGAGGAAGAGGAUCAUUGUCGAUGCCCUGAAAAAUAAGAGCAACCUGCAACCUGUUCUCGACGGGAAGUCCGGGCCGGGGGGUGAAAAGCCUCCCAGCUCGCGCAAAAAUAAAACCUGGUGCUCAAGCACAAGGAACUGCAAAAAAACAAGUGGGCUUAGGCGAUUGAACCCAAAAAGACUAUGGGGAAGGAUAUUUCGACUCUGCUCCGUGAAAACAUAACAAAAUGGAGAUGCUUAGUGUGAAUUGGAAAAAUCGUGCAACUUUAAAGUCUUGAAAACCAAGAUGAUGCCAAGCAUUAGGGCAGAGGGACGCCGGCCCGGGAUACUCAACAUUUCGCGCCUCGCGGGGGGCGGUAAAGAAGGCCUCUCAGGGGCUCGUCCCCGGGCUGACUAAAUGAUGGCCUCCCCGUAGGCGGCCCCAACUUAUAAGGAAUGUAUUGAAAAAAAACAAGCACGCUUUUUCCGUGGGAGAGGCGAAACUCAUAUGCUAAGCACAGGGUCUCGGGGAGGGGACUAC